ACAUCACGCUUACAUCAUGGUUCCGAUGGUUCCAAGUCGGCGUCGUGAAUAGGUUAUGUUAAAAUUAUAAGCGAUAUUUAAAAAAUAAAUGUGUAUUUGCCACAGUUUUAAAUAAACAUAAAAGUUUCUAGUUUUCUAAGAAUCUAAAUACAUAAUGGCCGCAAAGUAGUUGGCAAUCAAUUCUAAUGUCAACGACAAAUUGAAUUAUUUAACUAACCUCUUUUGCUGUCUAGCGUUCCCUAAAAAAAUAGGAUCGAAAAGAAAACACAAGCAAAUAUUGAAAAUACGUCAAAGUUAACAAACAAGGAUUUUAUGCUAUAUAACUUCUCAAGGAUUAUAAUCUGAACCUAUCCACUAUCUAGUGGAACCUCCUCGAAAUCCUUCUACUGUCUCAUCUAUGAUUAUUGAAUAGAGGUUUCUAAGAACGGAG
rnacentral:lncRNA from 13 species